CGGCACGGUACGAUUCCGUGGGGGAAUUUCCCUAACGCUUAGUCCCUAUACCGUAAAGGCCAUUACUGUAUAGGGCGUUGCCAACUACGAAAGUGUCGGGG
rnacentral:ncRNA from 1 species